rnacentral:tRNA from 1 species
GGGGAUGUAGCUCAAUGGCAGAGCACAGGCUUAGUAUGCCUGCGGUCCCGAGGGGUUCAGUCCAAGUCUCCCCA